ensembl:lncRNA
AGGCUGAGGCGCUGCGGCCCGCAAGCGCUGGAGCCGCCUGCUUCUCGGACUCUGGCUUUAGUUGCUAGUAACGGUCGCUAGGGAUUCAGAACGUUGGCCCGAAGGAACAUGGGACGGUCGCCAGCCGGGACUUCUCUGCGCCUUUCAGUUUGGGGCUCUCGACGUGCCUUUACUGCCCAGAUGAGACUGUUCAGAAAAUGGAAGGACAAGCAACAAACUGGGAGAAAAUAUUUGCAAAAAUACAUAUCUGAUAAAUGACUGUAUCCAGACUCUAUGAAGAACCACAACUUGAUAAGAAGGACCUCCUGGUAAUGUAGACGAGGAGGCCGUGCUGUGAAUGAGUUCUCCACUGCGUCCUCACUGGUGUUUCAGAUUGGCCCCCUGCUAUUCUUCAGACAUGUCAAGUAUACUUCCUCAGGGCCUUCAUACUUGCUAUUCCCUCUCCUAGAAUGCAUCAGAUUUCUGGCGUGCCACUUCACUUCCUUCAGGAAUCUCCAGCUAAUAGAUUUUUUCAAAAAAUCAAAUAUAUUUUUUUUAAUUUUCACAAUGAAAUUUUAAAAAAUGAUGGAAAGGGGCAACAAAAUGUCCCCAAGGACAAAGGAAUUCAACAGAAAAAUGUUGACCUAAAGAAAAAGAAAAUGAUUGUCCAACAUCCCAACAUGAACUUUCAGAAAUGUCAUGCUUAAAUUGAAUCUAAGAAGAAAAAUCACCCCACGGAAGUAAAAGAGCUCAAGAAAGAAACAGUCAGGUAAUAGGAAGUGACAUGAGAUGAUUGGAAGAAUCGAAGCAUGAAGCAGUAGGUAUCAAAGGAAAAACAAGAAAAAACAAAACCAUUUCAGAAAAUAAAAACUAAAUUUUCUCACAUUAUCAUGCUGUGUACAUGUAUGUGUAACUGGGUCACCAUGCUAUACAGUAGAAGAGAAAAUUGUAUUGGGGAAAUAACUAUUUAAAAAAAGAAUAUCAAUGUUUAAAAAAAUAAAGACUAAAUUCUAAUAAGCAAAAA